AUUUCCUGUGUAUUCUCUCCCAGACAUUGCUUAUUAGAACGCAGCAUAUAUUUUGGAAUGUUUAAUUUUCAGUUCUGCCUAGAUUUUCCUGUCGAGUUUUGAUCUACAGUGACCUUCAAAAUGCUGUUUUGGGUAAUUGUGUGUGGGAAUUGAUUGGUCACUGCUCCUUCCACAGGUCUUUGAAGAAUUACUGCUUGACGCCGACUGGAGCAUCAAUGCUGGGAGUUGGAUGUGGCUGUCCUGCAGUUCCUUUUUCCAACAGUUUUUCCACUGCUACUGCCCUGUUGGUUUUGGUAGGAGGACAGACCCCAAUGGAGACUAUAUUAGGCGUUAUUUGCCUGUCCUAAGAGGCUUCCCUGCAAAAUAUAUCUACGAUCCUUGGAAUGCACCAGAAGGUAUCCAGAAGGUAGCCAAAUGUUUGAUAGGCGUUAAUUAUCCCAAACCAAUGGUGAACCAUGCCGAGGCAAGUCGACUGAAUAUUGAAAGAAUGAAGCAGAUCUAUCAGCAGCUCUCCCGCUACAGAGGGCUAGGUAUGUCAGUUCCUUAUGGGCGUCUCCUGUCAGUGCAGGCCUAGCUGUCAUUGAUUUCUUUCUUGGUCAGAAUUUAACAGGAAAAUGUCUCCCUUCAGGUCUCCUUGCCUCAGUCCCUUCUAAUCCUAAUGGGAACGGAGGGCUCAUGGGCUAUGCUCCUGGAGAGAAUGUCCCCAGCGGUGGCAGUGGUGGCGGAAGUAAGUGAGACAGUUCUAGACAUGGGGACAUGGUAAAGAGGGGACAACCGAGUACAUGCUCCUGUGGGCCUUGUUGGAAUAGGUUUGACUUUUUGAAAAGCUG
rnacentral:lncRNA from 1 species